rnacentral:tRNA from 1 species
GGGAAGGCGUCCGUAGAGGUGUUAAGUUGUAGCCUUAAUUAUGAAAUUGUUGAUUUCUCUUCCUA